CACGUAGGGGGCAAGCGUUGUCCGGAUUUACGGGGCGUAAAGAGCGUGUAGGCGGCCAAGCAGGUCCGUUGUGAAAACUGGAGGCUUAACCUCCAGACGUCGACGGAAACCGCGCGGCUAGAGUCCGGUAGGGGAGCGUGGAAUUCCUGGUGUAGCGGUGAAAUGCGCAGAUAUCAGGAGGAACACCAGCGGCGAAGGCGGCGCUCUGGGCCGGAACUGACGCUGAGGAGCGAAAGCGUGGGUAGCAAACAGG
rnacentral:rRNA from 1 species